rnacentral:misc_RNA from 1 species
UUUCCGUAGGUGAACCUGCGGAAGGAUCAUUCAUAAUAAGUGUUUUACUGCACUUUUUAAAAAUAGUACUCACCUUGCGUGCAAUGUUGUGUUUCUUUUCGGAGAAACACCUACACCAACCUAUGACCUUGAACCACUUUGUCUGAAAAACUAUUAUGAAUACUUAAUUCAAAAUACAACUUUCAACAACGGAUCUCUUGGCUCUC